AGCUCCCUACCUACUUAGAACCUUUUAAAGUUAUUCAAGCUGCCAUAGGAUUUUGCUGUUCAGAAGCUACUGUUUGUCCUUUCUACUGUCAGACAGAAAGGAUGCUCACAUGAGAACUUAGUGCUCUCCUCCUAAAGGCAAGGACACACAGGUGGCACCAUCAUCUGCAGGCUCCUGGACUGUGUUUGCUGGCUUAGUUCAUCCUGCCAGCACAAACCUGCCUUGGGUUAACUGUUAGGUGGGUCACUAAGCCCAGCCAGGAAUGCUACACGUUGCAAUGGUUGCACAGUUCCCUGCAGCAGCUCGCAUAGCUGGGUGUCACAUGGGCCUGAAUAUCUGCAGAGAAGAGACC
ensembl:lncRNA